ensembl:lincRNA Gm29208 predicted gene 29208
GAGCAUGAGCCAGGGUGGCCCAGGGGCUCACAGGAAUUCCCUUUCUGCCCUGAGCCCACCAGAGCUGGCUAUACAAUGAUAACUUCACCCCCCUCGCCCCCCAUGGGCAGCACCUGCUCCCUGGGUCUCCCCUGGUGGCCCUAUUAUCCCGCACCUGCUGCUUCCCCACCUGCUCCCUAUUCUUAGCCCCCUCCCCAUAGCACACCCUGUUCAUCACUAGGCCCAGCUGCCUGCUCUGACAGCCAGCCAGGAAGGGGUAAUAGAACCAGGAGAGGUAGCAUGGAGGGCCCAAGGACAGAGGGUCCAGAGGCCAGUCCAGCUCUGUUUGACUAGUAGUGUGUAUGCUUACAAUGGACUCCAUCUCAGGGCCUCAGUCUCCCCACCUGUGAAGUAGGAACCGCAAGCCCUGACCUCAACUUUCUACAAAAACUUUACUGCUUGGAAGAUCUUAGGCCAUCGUGUUCCAAGAUCUGAGUUACAGAGGACAGCCAGGAAAGAAGUGGACCAUGAGGACAAAGAGCGGGACAAGGGAGGGUGACGCAACCUUCACGUGCAUGAAGAUGCUAAUGGUUCAUAUUUUAUAUCCUGAAGAAAACAAUCAAAAGAACUAAAACAAUCCCCAUAGUUAAAACAGAACAAAGCAGAAAAGGG